rnacentral:rRNA from 1 species
UUUGAGAUGGCCUCGCGUCCGAUUAGCUAGCUGGUGAGGUAACGGCCCACCAAGGCGACGAUCGGUAGCCGGACUGAGAGGUUGAACGGCCACAUUGGGACUGAGACACGGCCCAGACUCCUACGGGAGGCAGCAGUGGGGGAUAUUGCGCAAUGGGGGCAACCCUGACGCAGCAACGCCGCGUGAAGGAUGAAGGUUUUCGGAUUGUAAACUUCUUUUAUUAAGGACGAAACUUGACGGUACUUAAUGAAUAAGCUCCGGCUAACUACGUGCCAGCAGCCGCGGUAAUACGUAGGGAGCAAGCGUUGUCCGGAUUUACUGGGUGUAAAGGGUGCGUAGGCGGCUUUGCAAGUCAGAUGUGAAAUCUAUGGGCUCAACCCAUAAACUGCAUUUGAAACUGUAGAGCUUGAGUGAAGUAGAGGCAGGCGGAAUUCCCCGUGUAGCGGUGAAAUGCGUAGAGAUGGGGAGGAACACCAGUGGCGAAGGCGGCCUGCUGGGCUUUAACUGACGCUGAGGCACGAAAGCGUGGGUAGCAAACAGGAUUAGAUACCCUGGUAGUCCACGCUGUAAACGAUGAUUACUAGGUGUGGGGGGUCUGACCCCUUCCGUGCCGGAGUUAACACAAUAAGUAAUCCACCUGG